rnacentral:miRNA from 1 species
UCGCGAGUUCGAUUCCUCCCUA